rnacentral:rRNA from 1 species
AGAACGAACGCUGGCGGCAUGCCUAAUACAUGCAAGUCGAACGAACUCUUCGGAGUUAGUGGCGCACGGGUGCGUAACGCGUGGGAAUCUGCCCCUUGGUUCGGAAUAACAGUUGGAAACGACUGCUAAUACCGGAUGAUGACGAAAGUCCAAAGAUUUAUCGCCCAGAGAUGAGCCCGCGUAGGAUUAGCUAGUUGGUGAGGUAAAGGCUCACCAAGGCGACGAUCCUUAGCUGGUCUGAGAGGAUGAUCAGCCACACUGGGACUGAGACACGGCCCAGACCUCCUACGGGAGGCAGCAGUAGGGAAUAGUUGGGAACAAGUGGGCGAAAGCCUAGGAUCCAGCAAGUGCCGCGUGAGUGAUGAAGGCUUAGGGUUAGUAAGCUUCUUUACCGAGUAUGAUAAUGACAGUA